UACGGGGGGAGCAAGCGUUGUUCGGAUUUACUGGGCGUAAAGGGCGGGUAGGCGGCCACCGCAAGUCAGUUGUGAAAUCUCUGGGCUUAACCCAGAAAGGUCAACUGAUACUGCGGGGCUAGAGUGCAGAAGGGGCAACUGGAAUUCUCGGUGUAGCGGUGAAAUGCGUAGAUAUCGAGAGGAACACCUGCGGCGAAGGCGGGUUGCUGGGCUGACACUGGCGCUGAGGCGCGAAAGCCAGGGGAGCGAACGGG
rnacentral:rRNA from 1 species